rnacentral:rRNA from 1 species
AGUUUGAUCUUGGCUCAGAACGAACGCUGGCGGCAGGCUUAACACAUGCAAGUCGAACGCGUGUAGCAAUACACGAGUGGCGCACGGGUGAGUAACGCGUGGAUAUCUGCCUUUUGGUUCGGAAUAACCCCGGGAAACUGGGGCUAAUACCGGAUGGUUCCUACGGGAUAAAGAUUUAUCGCCAAAAGAUGAGUCCGCGUACGAUUAGCUAGUUGGUGAGGUAAUGGCUCACCAAGGCGACGAUCGUUAGCUGGUCUGAGAGGACGAUCAGCCACACUGGGACUGAGACACGGCCCAGACUCCUACGGGAGGCAGCAGUGGGGAAUAUUGGACAAUGGGGGCAACCCUGAUCCAGCCAUGCCGCGUGAGUGAUGAAGGCCUUCGGUUGU